rnacentral:rRNA from 1 species
UACGUAGGGGGCAAGCGUUGUCCGGAUUUAUUGGGCGUAAAGAGCGUGUAGGCGGCUAGGUAGGUCCGUUGUGAAAACUCGAGGCUCAACCUCGAGACGCCGAUGGAAACCAUCUGGCUAGAGUCCGGAAGAGGAGAGUGGAAUUCCUGGUGUAGCGGUGAAAUGCGUAGAUAUCAGGAGGAACACCUGCGGUGUAGACGGCUUUCUGGACCAUUGCUGACGCUGAGACACGAAAGCGUGGGUAGCAAACAGG